CCCACCAUCGUUAAAUCAUCAUUAUCUUCAACAUCGCUUAUCAAUCCUUCUGGUAUCUUCUUCUUCUCUACAUUUGAUCGAUAGUUUUGAUUUCAAAGCUGGUACGGCCGAUCUUCAUACACCAGGUUCUUUCUCUCCUACAUCUCCGUUUGGUGAUCUAGAUUCGAAAGAUGUUCGUGCGUUUGAUUUUGGAAUAUAUUUGAUUUUAAAGCUUGAUCGGUAGUUUUGAUUUUAAAGGUGUUUCGGCCGAUUUUAACGUAUUAUCUGCUUUCGAUGAUCUGGAUCGAAAGCUGUUUGUGACGUCAUCUACCGCGUUUGAUUUUUGAAUCUGUUUGCUGUGUUAUUGAUUGAUAAUUUUGGUUUUAAAUCUGGUUGCUUGACCAGAUCUAUAUGAUAUCCUUUAUCGGUUUUUAGGUUCAAUGGUUUGGGAUCAUCGUUUUACAAGCAUCCGUUUCGAUCGAUCUGAUUGUUUGCUGCAGUUCAUGAUUACCGGUUCUAGGAUUUUUUGAAAUAACUUGUUCAGGUUGACUUUUGUAUUGUUAUCCGUGAGUUCUUGAUAAUCGUUUAUCGUCUGUUUUUUAUUGAUAAUCUUCGGUAUUGGUUCGGUUGAUCAUAACAAGACCUUACUUCAGUUUGAUUGAGGUUGGCUGCUGGGCAGAUCAUGACCUGUUAUUAGGUUUGUUGUUCGGUUUUCUUCGUGCUUUGAUGACCUGUUAUUAAGUUUGUUGUUCCGUGUGUGUAAGUUCUGCCGGUUGGCUGCUGGGCAGAUCAUGCUUACGUCUUUGCCAAGCUUCUGUAGGCUGCCUGUUUCUUUUGAUUGAUAUACCAGUCGUGGGUGGAUAGGACUUUUUUUUAUACUUUACACUGGCAAUGGGAUGAACAUUCACAUCACUGCCGGUCUUUACAAUUUCUUUGUUUUUUUGCUGUGUUCUGUUUACACUCUCACUUAGCAGGCGUUUGUUAUACUUGAUGUUUAUUUCUUGUUUGUAGAACCACAGAAAAUAACGGAAAAUCAGACUGUGUUGGGACAUGGAUUGUUAUCUGGUACAUGACUUGCUCCCUAAUGACCUUUCUAUAAGUUGAUGGUUGAUCGUCGUAUCAGUUUUUUAGUUUGAUCUCAUGCAUGCUUCGAUAAGUUGAUGAUGAUUGAUCAAGGUUAUGGUCUCUUCAUGAUUAAGUGGCCACUUGCUCCAAGGUGUAGUAUUUUUGGUGUGUUCUUGCUGUUGCAGUGGCGAGGUUUAAAAAUGCUUGCAUAGGGUGGGCUAUCAUUGAUCUUCUAUCUGAGGCUCAUAUGCUGUGCAUCAGGUUUAUCACUAUCUAAACCAUGGUCAAAUGUUCGUUCUUUUUUAUCCUAACAUGCUUGGUGGCCCACGUUAUAAACAACUGCAUGACCAGCUACCGUUGAUUGGCGAAUGAUUUUCCCUUGCGUGUUUCUUUCGCGAGUUAUGGAUCUUGUAUCAUGCUCAGCUCAUAACCAGUUCAUCUUUCUCACACUUACUUUGUUUGCUUGCUUGAGGUUACCUGUGCAACAAAAACAUGUAUUUUUUAAUCUGUAGGUUAUUGAGAGACGUAUGUUUAAUAGCAGACUUAGAGGAUAUGUCUUGUUUUCUGUCAGCCGUAUGGUUUAUGGUUUUGCUUCUAGCUGGAUUGUAACCACAACAUUCCCUCCAAUGAACUGUGGAGUAUAAUCAAUGCUACCAUCUGGGGUCAUAAAUCUAACUACUUUGGCUUAAUUUAAGACGUGUAGCCCCUUCCAUCCUCGAAUAGAAGGUGCAGAAGUUGUUUUCCGAACCUGUGACUUGGUGGAUCAUACAUCUAUUAUUUCAGAAAGAUCGCGUUGGGGUUCUUAUUAUGCUUUCUCUAGAGUUACUUGGCAAUCGGUUGCUCUUUUCUACAUCAAUUCUUAUUAUGCUUUUCUUCCUAGGCAUAAUAAAUGAUUGGACCUGGGCAUCUUGAUUAGUAUCAUUUCGUGUCCUAGAACCAUCUUUCUUUUGUACUUUUAGUUUUCUUUAUAGGUUAAUGUAACAACAGAAUUGUGUUUGUUUGUAGGUUUGUUGGGUGACCGCAUUGUGUGAUCAUAUGCCUCCCUAUUCUCCUUCAUCUCUAAUUUCUCAUGAUUUUUUGUGUGUUGGCUGUAAGUUUUCAUAACAAGGUUGUGUUUUUCGUGCAAGUUAGAGCGGCUUCGUACAUUGUUGUCCAGUCGGCACCUACUUACUCUACUUCCAGUUUUGCUCGGUAUAUUGAAGAUGGUUGGAUUGCCGUGCCUGCUCGUGGAUCAUCGUGUUCAAUUACUUCCCACUACUAUGUUCUUUCUCUGAUCUCUUAUUCCGUCUUCUGUGUUUCUUUGGAUGAUGAUAUUAUGUUUUGUGUGUAGAUUUGUGUGGCUUCAAUCGUUGUUCUCCAAUUACAGUCUGCCGGUUUUUCUUAAGUUCUUAUGUUUAUUCUAUGUUACGAUUGUUCAUCUCUUUACAUCAUGACGGGGACUUGAUGGUGUUGACGAUACUAUGUAUAUGUUUUGCAGAAAGAGCGACACUGGAUUGGACUUCUAGAUAUUGAUUAGUAUCAUUUCGUGUCCUAAUAUCCUCUUUCUUUAUUCCAUAUUAACUAGUUUUUUAAAUAGGUUUCUGCAACAAGAGAGUUGUUUGUUUGUAGGUUUGUUGGGUGACCAGCAUCCUUAUGAUGGAGUUUAUUGCAAACCUUCGGUGUAAGCUGUUGUGUUUUUCGUGUAGGUUAAGAGCGGCUUCGUACAUUGUUGUCCAGUCGGCACCUACUUACUAAAAAAACACCAAGGGAUUGGACCUACGCAUUUUGAUUAGUAUCAUUCCGGGUUUGUUGCGUGACCUGGACCAUGAUGAUCAUAUAUGCGGGCUCUUUUUGAAUCUUAUUGCAAACUUUCGUAUAUUUAUUGUCUCCCUUUUUAAUAUCGUUAAAGCACUUAAAUCUUGCUUAAUUGCUAAUAGGUCUGGAAUACUCUCUCUUUGCUUGGACCUUUGUCUUUGUUUGUUGCUGACCUUGGGGGGUGUCCCGAUGGAAAGUGAACAGGAGCAUCAUAUUAGAUUGUGUUAUUCCUUUUAGUGAACAAGUUCUGUUUUCUAUCCUCGUUUGUCUUCCUUUGACUUCGAUAUAAUUUUGAUCUAGGCUCGGUAUAUUGAAGAUGGUUGGAUUGCCGUGCCUGCUCGUGGAUCAUCGUGUUCAAAUUAGCGUGGCUUCAAACGUUGUUCUCCAGUUACAGCCUGCCGGUUAUCUUAAAUUCUUAUGUUUAUUUUAUGCUACGAUUGUCCAUCUCUUUACAUCAUGAUGGGGACUUGAUGGUGUUAACAAUACUAUGUAUAUGUUUUGCGGAAAGAGCAACACUCGAUUGGACUUCUAGUUAUUGAUCAGUAUCAUUUCGUGCUCUAAAACUUACUUUCUGUUUUCUUGGUUUUAUUUAUUGACUAUUUUUUUAGCUAGCUUUCACGAAGGAUGGGAAUUGUAUUUCGUUUGUAGGUUUGGUUGGUGACCAGACAUUUUUUCUCCAUCUCUUGUCUGGGAUGCCUAAAAGGCUAAGAGGAUAUAUUAUUGACCCACCACAGGCUCAGGCAAAAUUGAAGAUGAUUGGAUCGUUGUUCUUGCUUGUGGAUCGUCAGCGCAUGUUUGUUAAUUCUUUGCCACUUCCUCAAUUCUCUUUUUCCCGUUUUCUCUUGCGUGUAUGCUUUGUAUGAUGAGAUUAUGUAUUAUUGUAUGUAGGUUAGGGUAGCAUCAAACAACUUCAUCAAAUCAUUGCCUACUGAUUUUUCUAUAGUUUUUAUGUUCUUAUUUGUUACCAUUAUUGUUUUCUGUCUUUUAAUGACCGACUUGGAGGAGUUCGGGGUUAAUGUUACAAUGUAUGUGUUUCUGCAGGGUAAAGAUGAUUGGACUCGUGUUACUAUCUAUAAUCUUGCUUAAUUUCUGAUAGAUCCGGAAAACUUGUGAUUUGUUUGGGCCUUUGUCCUUUCUGGUUUGUUGGCAUGUUUUUAAAACCCCUCAAUCGGAGUUUCAUAUCAGUUUGUUCCCCUCUCUUAACAAUGAGUACUACUGAUUGGUUGUUGUUUUAUUAGUUUUGCCAGGAUUUUUGUAUUUCUAUGUGGUUUAGAAUCCCGCCAAACACUUGUAGGUGAAUUUUGAAACUACUUGCAACACAAGGGAGUUUGCUGGGUAGGGUAACGAACUCACCAGAUUUUCUAGUAUAGGAAACGAAAUCUAAUUGAAUUUGUUUUUCUUUUUAUUUUCUUAUAUUUUAUUUAACUUAUUUCUUAAAUUUAUGGUUAUUUUGUUCUCUCAUACUUGUGGCCUUUUUUGUCUGAUUUGAGGUUUUUUUUGGCUCCUCCUUUGCUGGAUCUGCAGAUGAUUUUUUUUUUUUUUUUUCUGUCUUUCCUUCUUUGCUAUAUUAUUUAGUUGAUAACCUGGGUGGUUUGACGCCUCUUGUGAUUAAAAUAUUGAACAAAAUGCCAAUCUGAUCCUGUUUUAGUAUAUGGAUUUUAAUUUUUCAAGUUAGUUUUUGUUUUGUUCUUUGGUCAAAUGUGUGAGCCUUUUGCUGUAAGAAAAAAUGUUAUCCCAGAAUUCCAGUUAGGGUAUGCACCAUCUUGCAGGAUUGGAAUCUUUAUUGAAGUUUACCUAGUAAAUGUUCAAUUUUUUCGUAUUUUUCAUUUUUGCGGUUCAAAAAAUUUGUUUUCGAGAUUUGGAUUUUUCAAAUUUUUUUUUUCGGAUUCAGUUCAAGACUGAUUUAGGGUUGUGACAGUUGUGUUUUACUUGAUAAAAAAGAUGUUUUUUUUUUGUGUUUAUAAGCUGGAAAAUAGAUGCUGUUAUCACGACACUUGAAGCAUGUUUUUUUUUGUUGCGUAUACUUUGAUUGGUGUG
rnacentral:lncRNA from 1 species